rnacentral:rRNA from 1 species
UACAGAGGUCUCAAGCGUUGUUCGGAUUCAUUGGGCGUAAAGGGCGCGUAGGCGGCGGGGUAAGUCGGGUGUGAAAUCUCAGAGCUCAACUCUGAAAUGGCACUUGAUACUGCUCUGCUAGAGGACUGGAGAGGAGAUUGGAAUUCACGGUGUAGCAGUGAAAUGCGUAGAUAUCGUGAGGAAGACCGGUGGCGAAGGCGGACCUCUGGACAGUUCCUGACGCUGAGGCGCGAAGGCCAGGGGAGCAAACGGG